rnacentral:rRNA from 1 species
GAUGAACGCUGGCGGCGUGCCUAAUACAUGCAAGUCGAGCGAACAGACGAGGAGCUUGCUCCUCUGACGUUAGCGGCGGACGGGUGAGUAACACGUGGAUAACCUACCUAUAAGACUGGGAUAACUUCGGGAAACCGGAGCUAAUACCGGAUAAUAUAUUGAACCGCAUGGUUCAAUAGUGAAAGACGGUUUUGCUGUCACUUAUAGAUGGAUCCGCGCCGCAUUAGCUAGUUGGUAAGGUAACGGCUUACCAAGGCAACGAUGCGUAGCCGACCUGAGAGGGUGAUCGGCGACACUGGAACUGAGACACGGUCCAGACUCCUACGGGAGGCAGCAGUAGGCAAUCUUCCGCAAUGGGCGGAAGCCUGACGGAGCGACGCCGCGUGAGUGAUGAAGGUCUUCGGAUCGUAAAACUCUGUUAUUAGGGAAGAACAAAUGUGUAAGUAACUAUGCACGUCGUGACGGUACCUAAUCAGAAAGCCACGGCUAACUACGUG